UUGGAUGAUGUUCGUGUAGAUGCAGAUGAAGAAUGCAACAUAGAUCCAGAUGUUGAUGAUGAUCCUGACAACGAAGUGAACAGGCCCGAUGAUGCUGUUUUGAUGGAUGAGAUGUCAGACAAAGAAAAUGAAGGUAUGAGCAUGCCGCAGCAAAGCAGAAAGAAGAGUGACCAAGUUGCAAACAAGGAAAGUGACCGUGGUGCCAGCAGAAAGAAAAGGAGUAUCAGACAAUCUUGGACAGCUGAAGAAAAACAAGCAAUACACAGACACUUUAAAGAAGAACUACGCUCACGCCAACUGCCCGGUAAAGAAAAAAUAAUGAAGUACUGCAAGAUGGAUGCAGACCUGAAGGGUCGUACUAAAAGGUGGACAACAGUCAAAGAUUUCAUUAGAAACCAAAUUAGAAAGACAAAUCCACUGGAUUUUUAGUGAAUUUUCAACCUGUUAUGAGUGAAAUUAAUCAUGUUCAUCACACUCCGCAAUUUUGGAUGAAAUCUUUUCAGGUACUGACAUGCGUAAAAUGUGGUUGCUUCUUAUUCAUAUAACCCACUUACUGGUUUCCUUGAUGAAGGGCUGUGCUUUGGAAGAGGUGCACCUUUAUAUAGGUUAACAGUUAACUCCAUGGCCAGGAAGCAUACUGUGUGUAAAGCAGUGUAUGGUUCUGCAAGUCAAAUGGGAACUUAAUAGGAAAAACUUAAUUACCUGCCCAGUUGGUCAGGGCCAGGGAGUAGACUUGUGUCUAACAGUAUGUAUACUGUAUAGAAGAUUGUAAGGCAAAUGGGAACUUUUGUGCUAAAGUUGUUUGAUAAGCCCCAGUUUGCCAGGUUAACGUUUUGCAGUUUAAAUGAUGACUUACAGGUCAAUUUUAUCAGCUCCCAUAUCACCAGAUGGUCAACGUCAGUGAGCAUCACAUGUGUAACAAUGUGCAUAAAGGUUUACAGGUCAAACUCCAACUUUGCUCACUUCCCCUAGAUUAGGUUCAUGGUUGAUAGGACUCGUGAUAGGACUAGAUGUAUAAUGUUUUCCAUAUCAACUGGGAAUUAAGAGCCAACUGUGAUCAGGUCCUCAGUUGGCUUAGACCAUGACAAGGAAGCAUCCACAUGUGUACACUAUGUAAAAUAAAGUUUGCAGGUCAAAUAGGGACUUUAGGCCAACUUUGCUUGGCUCCCCAGUUAAAUAGGCCAGUAUGUAAUGUUUUGCAAUCAACUAGUGACUUAUGGGCAAUUUUGAUCAGGUCCUCAGUUGGCUUGGGUCCGAUUACCAGGAAGCAUCCGCAUGUGUACAUUGUGUGAAAGUUAAGUUUGUAGGUCAAAUGGGCACUUUUGGUCAACUUUACUUGGCUCACCAGUUGAUCAGGGCCAUGAUGACUCGUCAAAGGACCGCUAUGUAUAAUGUUUGGAUUUAAGAGCCAACUGUGAUGAUCGAGGUCCUCAGUUGGCUAGUUCCAGCUGAUGAGGAAGCAUCCACAUUGUGUAAACUAAAGUUUGCACGUCAAAUGGGGACUUAUGGCUAACUUGACUCGUCAAAGGCCCGCUACUUGCAAAAUUUAGAUUUUUAAGUACAUUGCAGAUCAAAUGGGACAUAGCUACCACCUUUGAUCCUCAAUUAGUCAAGGCCAGGUGAAGUCCCAUGAAAUUGAAAAUUGUGUAAAAAGUAACAUGUCUAAUUUUGAUUUAUGAGACAACUUGGUUAGCAGUUGGGUUUUGACUGUUGGUCAAUUACCAUGGACCUUUGGCCUUUAUUAGACUUUAUAAAUAUCUCACCACUCUUGUCCAAUUUCAUCUAAGUUUGGACCCUUUUUUUCAAAAAAAUCAUCAAAAAGUAGACCAUUUGCCCCUUUUGUGAAAUUUAAUCAGGUCCUCGCACUCAGCUAUUGGGUAGGGCCAGAUAACCAUUAAAGCAUAAUCAUGUGUUCAAUGUGUUUCUAUUAAGUUAUGUCUGCAGAUCAAAUGGGACUUUGUACCAUCUAUGAUCAGAUCCCCAGUUAGUCAAGGCCAAAUUGUGAAUAAAGUUUUACAGAUCAAAUGUGGACUCAAAGCUUGCCAGCUUCGAUAAUUUUCCAGUUGCAGUCAAUUAUCAGGGAGCAUUGACCAAUGUGUAACAGUUUGUAUAAAGAUUUGCAGGGUAAGUGGGGUAUAUUUCUGCGACAAACUAUGAUCAGCUUCUGAGCCAAGAACAUUGUUUAUUUAAGGAUGCACUCAGCAACAUGCUUUAUGCAGUAUAGUUCAUCUCGUAUGUAACUCAAAAACUAUUGAUGGGAAGUGUAUAAAGGUAUACAUUUUCUGGCUGAAAAUGACCUGUUAAAUCCAUUGAACACAUACAAUUUGGACAACAAUUUAUCAUUUUUUUUACCCAUUUUUUUCGACCACCAUAAAUAAAAUAUCCUUGCAACAAAAAAUUAUUUUCCUAGUGUCCAAAAUAUAACUCACAAUGUACCAAAAAUAUAAUAACCAAGUUUGAACUUAUGAGUUGUGGGCUAUAAAAAAAGUUCUAGGGCCUAAUUACAAAAAAACGUUACUAGAUUUUAGUAGGUACAAUGUAUUCUGUAUGAAAUCUUAAAUCAGAAAUGUUUUAUUUUUGAGUCCUGAGGGUUCAAAACUCAUAUAAACUAUUAAAAAUGAAAUGGCUGAAAUUAUGAUUUUAUGCAGAAACAUGGAUUUUCAGUUGCAUUUUCAAUCUCAUCUUGAAAACCCCAAGAUCCUGUGUCUCGAUCCUGACUUUGGUAUACGGUUGCCGACAAUAUGCUGCAUCCGAUGGUACAUUAGACAUUUUUUCCAAUUGAAUUUAUAUGGAUUUGAGAGUAAACGUCCACAUGGUCUCACCAUCUGUUUACAUUGCUUGCUGUUUCCAUGGGCGUUGUGUCACGUAGAUAGAUUGCGCGGAUAUUGCACAUCGUGUUGCAAUGUGACGGGACACGUAGCAUGCAUCGCAUAAACGGACACUGUCAUUUUGCGUUAAAAAAGGUUUCAUCUGUAGUUUUGUUAGAUUUUAAACCUGAAAAGGGUCCACAAAACAGUUUUUGAUGGUUCAAUGUUUAUAUUAGCAUCACAGAAUUUACUGACAUGAUGGAACAGAGUUUGAAGAUAGCAAUAAAAAAAAAUCAUUUAAGGGUAUGGCAAACUUUGACGUUGCUGGGUGCAUCCUUAAGUUGUAGGUAAUUACAUGUUUUAAGAUGUUAAAAGUUGUGUAGAUCAAAUGGGGACUUUGCAGGCCAACCUUGAUUAUUACCUCCCGGCUGGUCGUCCUAGGAAUUGAAUAGCCCAUGUAUAAAGGUUUUCAGCUUAAACGGGGACAUAUGAUGCUCACUUGUGUUGACCCAGCUGGGGAGAUAAUAAGAGUUAGCCCCAAAGUCCCUUUGCAAACAUGAGAUGCUCCAUUGCAUUUCUCCAAUCUGUGAUCUGAUCAAACUUGUUAAGGUACUAUGCCCAUUCAAGUUUGAUAUCUCCUCAUUUGGCUGGGAUCAGAAGCAUCUUCGUUCCUGUACUGUGUAGAGUAGCAACUCAUUUACACAAAGUUGGUGGGGGUUUGGAUUUAGGUUUGUGUUAUCAGGAUAGAAUGAAAUUUACAAGAACACCUUGGAAAUUGAAUUCCUCUUUGUAUUAUUUGGAACUUUGUGUUAAGAAAAGGGUUUGCAAGAACGAGUUGCCACUGUAUGAGGUAAUUUGUUGGUCAAACAGCGACUUAUGGGUCAGCUUUGAUAAGCUACAGAGUUGGUCACCUCCAAUCUUGCAUAUACCAUUGAGUGUAUUCAAUUUUUCAUCCAGUGUUGUUUUGAACAGUUUUAUAGUUUUACAUACAUGUACACAAUCUAUAUAAAGUUCUGAAAUGGAUAGUGCAUGCAAGAGUGUUUUGUUCAUAUAUGAAAAUGUGACAUAUUACAAAUUUACCCUUGGUUCAGUUUGUUGUUAUGAAUUUCUGAUGUUUGUGUUUGUUUUUGUUUUUUGUAAAGAGUGAGUUAAAUGUCUUAACAAGACAUGUUCUCAUGCAAUGCAAUCAAUGCAAUCAAUUGUUAAUCUUUUCCUGUUAUGUGGAAAAAAAUGUGUAUGCUUUAAGUAAUGAAUACCCUUUGUUUCAUCACAACUUCUGUAGUGACAUCACCUGCAAAGAACACUUUUUCUGGGUUUGAAUUCCAAGCGUGAUGACCACCGCCAAUUAUAAGUGUGGGUUCUGCUUCUAAAGGAACAUUAAAAAAAUAGUUUUUAUUGAAUUGAAUCUUGUCUUCCUGAUGAUUUAUAAAAUAUUUUAGAUGGGAAUCUGUAGAUGAGUUAUACAACAAAUGAUAAAUGUUUUAUUCAUCGGAUAGAAUAUUUUCAUUUUAGUGGAAGAUUGGCCGUUCCGCCAGCUCCUGGUAUGGUGCAACUAAUCUUUCACCUCAUGAAAAUAUUCUUACCAGAGCACUCUCAAAUUAUAUGUAUAACAUUUUGUUAUUUGAUGUAGCUAGUAUGAGCAAUGUUGUAAUACAUUUGUUAGUUGUGUAUUAAAAUGUAACCACUAGCCUGUAUUAAACAGUAUAUCAUAUUAUAAUAGUUAGAUCAGGUAUAUACAGUUUACAAUUCACCGUUCAUAGUGUACAUGUUAAAAAAGUUGAUUGUUCAGUAUCAUUGCAGUUAAAUGCUGGUUGACCAAAAUUUGUGGAAUGGCUGGUAUUUCAGAAAAGGAGUUGAAACAGAAGGUCAGGUUUAUCAUUGAAGAAAUAUUAUUUGGGCAAAAGCUGUUUUAUAUCAAAUUCAUUCUAAAAAUAAAUCAUGUUUUGUAUUAUAGGUAUACCUACACUACAUUGUACAUUACUCUGUAUUUUACCAAAACGUCUGUAGUGACAAGCUACAGAGUUGGUCAACUCCAAUCUUGCAUAUACCAUUGAGUGUAUUCAAUUUUUCAUCCAGUGUUGUUUUGAACAGUUUUAUAGUUUUACAUACAUGUACACAAUCUAUAUAGAGUUCUGAAAUGGAUAGUGCAUGCAAGAGUGUUUUGUUCAUAUAUGAAAAUGUGACAUAUUACAAAUUUACCCUUGGUUCAGUUUGUUGUUAUGAAUUUCUGAUGUUUGUGUUUGUUUUUGUUUUUUGUAAAGAGUGAGUUAAAUGUCUUGACAAGACAUGUUCUCAUGCAAUGCAAUCAAUUGUUAAUCUUUUCCUGUUAUGUGGAAAAAAAUGUGUAUGCUUUAAGUAAUGAAUACCCUUUGUUUCAUCACAACUUCUGUAGUGACAUCACCUGUCAGGUUUAUCAUUGAAGAAAUAUUAUUUGGGCAAAAGCUGUUUUAUAUCAAAUUCAUUCUAAAAAUAAAUCAUGUUUUGUAUUAUAGGUAUACCUACACUACAUUGUACAUUACUCUGUAUUUUACCAAAAUGUCUGUAGUGACAUCACAUGCUUUUCGUGCGUGCUUCAUGAUCGUUAAGAUAAGGUGAUUGAAUAGGCAUGGACAGGUUGAUACGCUUGGAACGCAAACUAGUUGACGUCACUACAAAUGUUUUGUGAAACAAAGGGUAUUGUCGUCGUAUUCAAAUUUGAAUUUAGAUUCUCUGUAGGGCCCACCAGUGGGAAUAGCCCAGCACCCAUAGACAGUCAAAAUGAAGAAUGAUGUGCAAAACUAUAAUGCUGGUUGAAGAGAUGAAUGAUCACUAUGUCUGGUUUGUCGUCUACGUCGGACUAUAACCCAACUCCAUGGACAAUGUGACCUAUUAUCUGACAUGAAAGUGAUAAUUUAAAAUGUCUAUAUGUAGUCCAUUUUCCAACAGUUUUGUUUGACUGUAUUUCUUUGCCCAAUACUUUUGUACAAAGAAGACAAGAUUAGCACAAAAGUGAUGUAUUGGUCAUGUUUUGAUGUUACUAUCCAUCCACUAAAAUGUAAUGUUUAUAUGUUCAUAACAUAUCACUUUGUAACCCGAGUUCUAUACAAAAAUGAAAUGGAUUAUGGAAUUCGGAAUCCUGGGUUCAGAACACAAAUAUGCUGAUACUUUCCACUUGCUUUUAUUAACAAAUGUAACUUUCAUUCUUUAAAUUAAGAUCUUGAUUAAAGAGACACGGGCAUAUUUGGAAAUAUUUGUCCAACUCUGAUAUUUCUGUUGCGAUCUUAUUUUGAUGUACACAUCUUGACUGCCCAGCACGCCAUUCCAAAGUGGAUAUUUUCAAAGCAGAUACUAAUGCCCUCGCUGGGACUGAAGGUUUUUGUAGGGAUUUUAAAUAAAAUGUUAUUAUUCAGAUCCAUAUUCAUGCCGCCUUUAAAAGCAAAAUCACCACUUACGAUUUUUUUUUUUUUUAACAGCUUGAAGCGAAAUACAUUAGUUUUUAUCAUGUCAGAUUUCAAUUUUGUAACAUCUAAACAUGAAAAUUAAGGUUUUGCAAAAACGCUAUUCAGAAGCUUAGUACUCAAACUCUUUCUUGUGUAUACCAAAUUAUGAUAGAGGUAAAUAUUAAUGUUAUGUAGUUUGCUACUCCAAUUUCAAUAUUGCAACACCAUGAUUCACUUUUAUAUGGGAAUUUUUGUUUUUAAAGGUCACUGGGGGCUGAUUUCACUGCAAAAGAAGGCAUGAAUAUGGGUCUAAACAAUCCCCAAGUUGCGAGUAACUCCUCUCCUACCAUACCUGUAUAACAGCCCACCUAUGUGUUCGUUGUCCUCUGAACUGAGAUGUAUCAUGUUUUGUUGGAACCUUGUUUUAUAAGCCUUAUUUUUUCAAAGUUGUCUUUAAUAAUAAAAACAGUUUUGCUGUAUUUGAAAGGCA